UACGGCUAUAUCACUUUGAAAGAUCAGUUCUCGUACGAUCACUGAAGUUAGGCAAGAUCAAGCCUGGUCAGUACCUAGACGAGUGACCGCUUGGGAAUAUAAGGUGCUGUAA